rnacentral:lncRNA from 1 species
GACAGGCGAGCGCGCCGCCCAGGGUGACGGGACCGGUCCUCGGGGAGGGGAGGGGGCGUUCCAGGGGCCUGGGGGCCGAAGCUGAGGGCUAAAGGGGGCGGCAGCGCCGGCGGAGCGGAGGCGGGUCUCACGUGGGCCAGCGCAGAGCCUGCGGAAGGGACGGAUGCGGAUCUCGUCGCUGUCACCUUGAAAGUGACCGAGGGGCUUGACUGUGGACUCCUUACGCCGCCCACCCGGGCCCGGCGGUCCCAGCCUUCUCGCAGGGCCCCUUCUCAGCAGAAGCAAGCGGGGCCGAGAAAGCGGGUGGAAUAGGGUUGCUGCAGGUCCCAAAGACCCCUCGUGGCGCCUCGCUACUUUCUGCAGCUUGUUUGCACUUUUUCACGCUCUAGAAAAAUCUCAUCUUAAUUAA